GAAUGCUGACAUAAGUAACGAUAAAGCGGGUGAAAAGCCCGCUCGCCGGAAGACCAAGGGUUCCUGUCCAACGUUAAUCGGGGCAGGGUGAGUCGACCCCUAAGGCGAGGCCGAAAGGCGUAGUCGAUGGGAAACAGGUUAAUAUUCCUGUACUUGGUGUUACUGCGAAGGGGGGACGGAGAAGGCUAUGUUGGCCGGGCGACGGUUGUCCCGGUUUAAGCGUGUAGGCUGGUUUUCCAGGCAAAUCCGGAAAAUCAAGGCUGAGGCGUGAUGACGAGGCACUACGGUGCUGAAGCGACAAAUGCCCUGCUUCCAGGAAAAGCCUCUAAGCAUCAGGUAACAUCAAAUCGUACCCCAAACCGACACAGGUGGUCAGGUAGAGAAUACCAAGGCGCUUGAGAGAACUCGGGUGAAGGAACUAGGCAAAAUGGUGCCGUAACUUCGGGAGAAGGCACGCUGAUAUGUAGGUGAAGCGA
rnacentral:rRNA from 1 species